rnacentral:rRNA from 1 species
UAAAGGCCCACCAAGACGAUGAUACGUAGCCGACCUGAGAGGGUAAUCGGCCACAUUGGGACUGAGACACGGCCCAAACUCCUACGGGAGGCAGCAGUAGGGAAUCUUCCACAAUGGACGAAAGUCUGAUGGAGCAAUGCCGCGUGAGUGAAGAAGGGUUUCGGCUCGUAAAACUCUGUUGUUAAAGAAGAACACCUUUGAGAGUAACUGUUCAAGGGUUGACGGUAUUUAACCAGAAAGCCACGGCUAACUACGUGCCAGCAGCCGCGGUAAUACGUAGGUGGCAAGCGUUGUCCGGAUUUAUUGGGCGUAAAGCGAGCGCAGGCGGUUUUUUAAGUCUGAUGUGAAAGCCUUCGGCUUAACCGGAGAAGUGCAUCGGAAACUGGGAGACUUGAGUGCAGAAGAGGACAGUGGAACUCCAUGUGUAGCGGUGGAAUGCGUAGAUAUAUGGAAGAACACCAGUGGCGAAGGCGGCUGUCUAGUCUGUAACUGACGCUGAGGCUCGAAAGCAUGGGUAGCGAACAGGAUUAGAUACCCUGGUAGUCCAUGCCGUAAACGAUGAGUGCUAAGUGUUGGAGG